CACACACAUACAUGUUUUUAAAAGCUUUUCUUCUUAACCAUUGCUUAAACUAAUGGUGGGAACAAAUGUUGUUCCUGAUUAAAAGGGGCUGGAAGCGUGGUCUGAUGUUGAACUUACCAAGGGUGAGAUUUGCCCUCCUUGAGGGCUUUUCACCUGAGGUCCCUGGAGCACUGUGGCUGUCGUGAUGUCAAGCUUCUUGUACCCUCAGAGAUGGAGGUCUCCUUUGCCCUUCUUCUGCACAAGUACAUUGAAUACUUGUAGCUGCAGUUCUCAGGGAUGCCCUGUGGCUCCCAAACCAUGGUAUUUUACUGGAGGUUUGUUCUUUUUCUCCCCUGCAGCUAUUUUGAAAAUUGAGCUGGGGGAAGAACUCAGGAGUCCCUAUUUCCGAUUGCUUUCCAUAAGCACUGUGCAAAGAAAGCAACCUCCAUUAGCAGGAGCAAUGCUCUUUUGAACUUCGCAGUGAGCCUGUGGUCUUUGAUGUGGUCAAAUAUGGAUAUGAAUUUUCUCCUGGAAGAACAAAGCACAGAUGUUACAAGGUAUCUGAGAAACGAAGGGUUUUAAUUAAUACCCUGAAGAUACUAGGACAUCACCUAGAUAUUUCACCUGUGUUCAGUUCUGCAAUCUAGUUUUGAAUGAAGAAGGUGGAACGUGCUGCCUCUAUGUGGAUCUGUGUUUUGUAGGUCCGUGUGGGUGGGAUAUCAAGAAAAGAAACCCAAGGGGAAACCAAUGGCUGCUGUUCUAGUGCUGUCUUCUGGGAUUGCACUGUGAGCUGGGGUUGUAAGAAAAGCUGGGAACUCCUUGGUGCACCUUGACCAAGGCAAAGCAGGUAUUGUCUCUGUAACCUCUGCAGCCAUUGAACUGGUUUGCCUUUGAAGAAUUUUACACGUCUGUUCAUCUAAGGAGGAUCACUGUUCAGCAUUUAUUCAGCAAAGAAAUGUAUGGAGAAAUUUCAUCCAAGUGAGGGAUUCAAAAUUAUCAUUGGAGAUUGUUGAGGAGAAACAGCUUUCCUUUUUUUUUCUUAAGGAGAAGAUAUAAUAAGAAAAUGCAGGAGAAGUAACUAAACAACUAUUUUAGUUUGUUACUAUAGUGUUAACUUCCAUCCUUGGAAGUUGGGACUUUGUGGAUAAACAGAGAUUCAGGUGCACUUCUGUCCUGUAAGCACAUUAAGUGUAACACUGAGAGCUGGGGGUGCCAAACUGCAGUUUAAUCUCCAACAGUCUUGCUGCUGGGGCUGCCAGUAGUGACCCUUUCCCAAAGUACUUGUAUUUUCCUUCCCUUUCUGUUUUGAUUUGCUUUAAUCAAAUGAUGAAUUAUUUGGGUGAGGAACGAAGACUGAAAUUUUUCAAGUCCCUGUUCAAAACCCAUUUUCAGAAAUAACUUGGGGGUAAUUUGGGUUGCUACAUCUCAUUGGAAAACCAUGGACAUGUACAAAAAGAAGUGCUUUGUAAUCUUCUUCUUUGUACUGUAUCUCUGGCCUUAUAUUAUUGCAUAGGCUAUAAAUUUUCAGGGUGAAUGCUUUUCAUUUAGCUAAUGCUCUUGCUUGAUCUAUGUUUCUUGAACGAAAGCUGUUGAUAUAUCAUGAGAAAAGGUUGUAAUCCCAGUAUUGUGGUGUCUAUUGAGCAAUAGGUCUUCUGGUGGGGAUCAUAGUAAGUGCUGUUGUACUUCAAGAUCCAGAUAGCUUUGGAAGAGCAUCAGUCCUUUCACUAAGAUGGUGUUGGGGUGGAGAAAGCUUAUGAACUUAAAUUACAUUUCAGUGGGGUUCCCAUCAGUCUCUGAAAAUGGCACUCUUUUCAUGCUUCAAGUCAAUGACAUUCAUGGUUCCUUUCAAGAUCUUGUCCCUUACAUUUCUGAAGUAAAUAUCUGACUAUAUACAUAACCUGAAGUGUUGUAUCUGUUCUAUAUGCAGUGCAGUGCUUCAUGUUUAAAAACCACAACUUUUUUUUCCCUGUAAUUAACUAUUUCUUAGGAGGAAAAUGCUGAUGUUACAUUAACAUAACUAGUAAUGAAUUUUAUUGCAAAAUUUUAAGACUAAAAGUCUUAAUCUUAAGGAGUAAUGGUUAGCAAAUGAUAAAUAUACUAAUCAGAGGGCUCUCUGACUCUUAGAUCUAAGUUGUAUACUUCUGCAUACAUGUAUAGCUUCAUAGAGCUGUCUUAUUGAUUGAUUGAAUUUACAUAUGAAAUGGUCCAAAUAUUAUGCAAAGUUUAACAAGCGCAGCUAUGAGACAUUUGGUUAAAAUAGGAAAUUAACUUUGGAAUUAUUUCCUCAAUUUGAACAUCUUAGCCAAGACAGGAAUGUGAUCUAAUUAUUUGGGAGUCUCUUUAAGAACAUCUUAGCACUCUGCGUUCAGUUGAUUAUGAGAACCUAAUUUGAGACUAAGCUAUAUUGGCAGUUUGUGUGAUACGAGUUCUUGGUUGCCCACAGUAAUCUGUCCAGUUGAUAUGACCUGCAGCGGUUUUCCUUUCUUUGAAUCCGAGUGAGGAAAUCUUAGAAUUAAACGUGAAGUCAAAACGAGCUCUUUUCCUGUGAGUCACCAGCACUUCUGCCCCCUCAGAGGGGAUGAAGGUGGGUUGGUUUUUGUUGUCAUUCUCUGCCCCUAGGUAUGCAGGUAAUGGAUGUACUUCAGUUUUGGUCCACAGUUUAUUUAGCUAGUAACUAGGUAAGACCAUGCUGUUUUUGAUCCAUUUGUAUCUCACGCAUCACACAUUGCAAGGCAGCAGAUCUUUGGUCCUUCUUGAAGCGUUCUGUGAUUUCACAGGUGGCCUUUUGUACUUAAAGUCAUUAGCCAUGUCUUUUCUGAAGGACAGCUUCUUCCAUCCCCUUCUGUUUGGUCCAUCUUCAGUUGUAUUAAUUAGUAACUUACGCCCGUCUCCGUGCUUUCUCAGUUGCACUGGGACCCUUUCCCUCUUGUGUUCUACCAACCCGUGCACAUGAGAGGCUGUCCCACCGCUGCCCAGCUUCUGUUUCCUCCCAGGGCUUCUAUAUGCAGCUUAGACGUGGACUGGUGAAAUGGGGGACUGUAAGUUCUUCCUGAGCUGCAUGGUGUGGUCCAUUC
ensembl:lncRNA